AUCCGGUGCCGAAUGUGGCAGCUAAACGGACAAUCGGGAGGAUUGGAGGUAGCCGAGCGGAAUAAUGUGCCGAGGGACCUCGCUGCAGCCCCGUUUCCGCCUUCGCUACACGCUACGCGCAAACUUUCGCGUGCACGUUUCAGCUACCGCUUCGAGUUGGCAAAUUUGAAAAAUGCGCGAGUUUAAUCUCGUAAGCGGUGCCAAAGAAUCUUCUGCCAAAAGAGAUUCUAUGGAUUUAGUGACCCGCGACUCACAAAUUCCUGGUCGAAGCAACCCGUUCUGACACAAAAUCAAC